UCCCUUCCAGCUCAGCUGGUAAGAGCGUGAGACUCUUAACCUCAGAGCUGCGGGUUCGAGGCCCAGGUCGGUCAGAA